rnacentral:rRNA from 1 species
UACGUAGGGUGCGAGCGUUGUCCGGAAUUACUGGGCGUAAAGAGCUCGUAGGUGGUUUGUCGCGUUGUUCGUGAAAACUCACAACUCAAUUGUGGGCGUGCGGGCGAUACGGGCAGACUGGAGUACUGCAGGGGAGACUGGAAUUCUCGGUGUAGCGGUGAAAUGCGUAGAUAUCGAGAGGAACACCUGCGGCGAAGGCGGGUUGCUGGGCUGACACUGACGCUGAAGCGCGAAAGCUAGGGGAGCGAACGGG